rnacentral:rRNA from 1 species
GACCUCAGAUCACGUAGGAAUACCCGCUGAACUUAAGCAAUCAAAAGCGGGAGA